rnacentral:rRNA from 1 species
UUCCGGUUGAUCCUGCCGGACCCCACUGCUAUCGAGAUGGGACUAAGGUAUGCUAGUCGAACGACCAGAACUAUGUCUGGAAGUGGCACACUGCUCAGUAACACGUAGCUAACCUACCCUUAGGACGUGGAUACCCCCGAGAAAUUGGGGUUAAUCCGCGAUAGAUGUAAUGUCCUGGAAUGGUAUUACGCCUAAAGGUGUAUCAUACAUGUUUGAUAUACGCCUAAGGAUGGGGCUGCGGCCGAUCAGGCUGUUGGUGAGGUAAUGGCUCACCAAACCUUUGACCGGUACGGGCCAUGAGAGUGGUAGCCCGGAGAUGGACACUGAGACAAGGGUCCAGGCCCUAAGGGGCGCAGCAACCGCGAAACCUCCACAAUGCACUCACGUGCGAUGGGGCUAUCUCGAGUGCCGCCUGAUGAAGGUGGCUUUUCCUUGGUCUUCAAAGCCUUGGGAAUAAGAGGGGGGCAAGACUGGUGUCAGCCGCCGCGGUAACACCAGCCCCUCGAGUGGUGGGGAUGAUUAUUUGGCCUAAAGCGUCCGUAGCCGGCCGAGUAAGUCCCCCGUUAAAUCCAGCGUCUCAAGCGUUGGACUGCGGGAGAUACUACAUGGCUAGAGAGUGGGAGAGGUCAGCGGUAUUCUGGGGGUAGGGGCGAAAUCCUUUGAUCCCCGGAGGACCACCAGUGGCGAAGGCUGCUGACUAGAACACGUCUGACGGUCAGGGACGAAAGCUGGGGUAGCGAACCGGAUUAGAUACCCGGGUAGUCCCAGCCGUAAACGAUGCAUGCUAGGUGUUGGGUUGGCCACGAGCCACCCCAGUGCCGCAGGGAAGCCGUUAAGCAUGCCGCCUGGGAAGUACGAUCGCAA